UAAAUUUAGAGUUUGAUCCUGGCUCAGGACGAACGCUGGCGGCGUGCUUAACACAUGCAAGUCGAGCGAUGAAGCUUCCUUCGGGAAGUGGAUUAGCGGCGGACGGGUGAGUAACACGUGGGUAACCUGCCUCAAAGUGGGGGAUAGCCUUCCGAAAGGAAGAUUAAUACCGCAUAAUAUAAGAGAAUCGCAUGAUUUUCUUAUGAAAGAUUUAUUGCUUUGAGAUGGACCCGCGGCGCAUUAGCUAGUUGGUAAGGUAAUGGCUUACCAAGGCAACGAUGCGUAGCCGACCUGAGAGGGUGAUCGGCCACAUUGGAACUGAGACACGGUCCAGACUCCUACGGGAGGCAGCAGUGGGGAAUAUUGCGCAAUGGGGGAAACCCUGACGCAGCAACGCCGCGUGGGUGAUGAAGGUCUUCGGAUUGUAAAGCCCUGUUUUCUAGGACGAUAAUGACGGUACUAGAGGAGGAAGCCACGGCUAACUACGUGCCAGCAGCCGCGGUAAUACGUAGGUGGCGAGCGUUGUCCGGAUUUACUGGGCGUAAAGGGUGCGUAGGCGGAUGUUUAAGUGGGAUGUGAAAUCCCCGGGCUUAACCUGGGGGCUGCAUUCCAAACUGGAUAUCUAGAGUGCAGGAGAGGAAAGCGGAAUUCCUAGUGUAGCGGUGAAAUGCGUAGAGAUUAGGAAGAACACCAGUGGCGAAGGCGGCUUUCUGGACUGUAACUGACGCUGAGGCACGAAAGCGUGGGUAGCAAACAGGAUUAGAUACCCUGGUAGUCCACGCCGUAAACGAUGGAUACUAGGUGUAGGGGGUAUCAACUCCCCCUGUGCCGCAGUUAACACAAUAAGUAUCCCGCCUGGGGAGUACGGUCGCAAGAUUAAAACUCAAAGGAAUUGACGGGGGCCCGCACAAGCAGCGGAGCAUGUGGUUUAAUUCGAAGCAACGCGAAGAACCUUACCUGGACUUGACAUCCCUUGCAUAGCCUAGAGAUAGGUGAAGCCCUUCGGGGCAAGGAGACAGGUGGUGCAUGGUUGUCGUCAGCUCGUGUCGUGAGAUGUUAGGUUAAGUCCUGCAACGAGCGCAACCCUUGUUAUUAGUUGCUACCAUUAAGUUGAGCACUCUAAUGAGACUGCCUGGGUAACCAGGAGGAAGGUGGGGAUGACGUCAAAUCAUCAUGCCCCUUAUGUCCAGGGCUACACACGUGCUACAAUGGUAGGUACAAUAAGACGCAAGACCGUGAGGUGGAGCAAAACUUAUAAAACCUAUCUCAGUUCGGAUUGUAGGCUGCAACUCGCCUACAUGAAGCUGGAGUUGCUAGUAAUCGCGAAUCAGAAUGUCGCGGUGAAUACGUUCCCGGGCCUUGUACACACCGCCCGUCACACCAUGAGAGCUGGUAACACCCGAAGUCCGUGAGGUAACCGUAAGGAGCCAGCGGCCGAAGGUGGGAUUAGUGAUUGGGGUGAAGUCGUAACAAGGUAGCCGUAGGAGAACCUGCGGCUGGAUCACCUCCUUU
rnacentral:rRNA from 1 species